rnacentral:rRNA from 1 species
UGGGGAAUUUUGGACAAUGGGCGCAAGCCUGAUCCAGCAAUGCCGCGUGCAGGAUGAAGGCCUUCGGGUUGUAAACUGCUUUUGUACGGAACGAAAAGCCUCUCUCUAAUACAGGGGGUGAUGACGGUACCGUAAGAAUAAGCACCGGCUAACUACGUGCCAGCAGCCGCGGUAAUACGUAGGGUGCAAGCGUUAAUCGGAAUUACUGGGCGUAAAGCGUGCGCAGGCGGUUUUGUAAGACAGUGGUGAAAUCCCCGGGCUCAACCUGGAAACUGCCAUUGUGACUGCAAGGCUGGAGUGCGGCAGAGGGGGAUGGAAUUCCGCGUGUAGCAGUGAAAUGCGUAGAUAUGCGGAGGAACACCGAUGG